rnacentral:rRNA from 1 species
UACGAAGGGGGCUAGCGUUGCUCGGAUUGACUGGGCGUAAAGGGCGCGUAGGCGGUUCGUACAGUCAGACGUGAAAUUCCUGGGCUCAACCUGGGGGCUGCGUUUGAUACGUGCGGGCUUGAGUGCGGAAGAGGGUCGUGGAAUUCCCAGUGUAGAGGUGAAAUUCGUAGAUAUUAGGAAGAACACCAGUGGCGAAGGCGGCUCACUGGCCCGGUACUGACGCUGAGGCGCGAAAGCGUGGGGAGCAAACAGG